rnacentral:lncRNA from 1 species
UAAGAGUGGUAACUCCACCCCAAACUCCAUGGAGGAGGUGGAAGACUCGAUCAUGGAAGGGCUCCAUGAUUGCCCCAUAGGUAGGUCUCCUACUGUUGCUGCUGCUAUGUGUUUGUGAAAAAAUUCAGUGCAGGGGUAAAAUGGUAAUUUUAAUUUUUUUAAAAUUAUGAUUUUAUAGUGAAAAAAUAUUAAUUAAUUAAUAUAAAUUUACCCUACACUAGGAUCUAAAUAUGAUAUAUAGCAUGCAUUCAUUUAAAUUUGAAUUUUGAAUUCAAACAGUAAAUACUUUACUGUAAUGUGUUCAGAACACAAUACCUUUGUGCGGGUAGU